AUCGCUUCUCGGCCUUUUGGCUAAGAUCAAAGUGUAGUAUCUGUUCUUAUCAGCUUAAUAUCUGAUACGAGUCCUAUUUGGACUCAAGAUAUGAAACUUAUUUUUGGAAUGCGGCGGAGUGCUUGAAGCUUGCUUCACCUCUGCCACGGGUUGGCCCGGUAUUGCAGUACCUCCGGGAUCGGCCCACUCCCC